rnacentral:tRNA from 1 species
GUGCCUGUAGCUCAGUCGGUUAGAGCAGAUGACUCAUAAUCAUUUGGUCCUGGGUUCGAGCCCCAGCAGGCGCAC